rnacentral:rRNA from 1 species
GUGUCAGCCGCCGCGGUAAUACGAGUGGUGCUAACGUUAUUCGGAUUUACUGGGCGUAAAGGGUGCGUAGACGGCUUAGCAAGUCAACUGUUAAAUUUUCCGGCCUAACCGGAAAACUGCGGUAGAAACUGCUAUGCUAGAGGAUGGAAGAGAGAAGUGGAAUUCUCGGAGUAGCGGUAAAAUGCGUAGAUAUCGAGAGGAACACCGAUGGCGAAAGCAGCUUCUUGGUCCAAUCCUGACGUUGAGGCACGAAAGCGUGGGGAGCAAACAGGAUUAGAUACCCUGGUAGUCCACGCUGUAAACGAUGAUCACUAAACGUUAGCUUUGCUUUGCAAGGUUAGUGUUGUAGCUAACGCGUUAAGUGAUCCGCCUGGGGAUUACGGUCGCAAGACUAAAACUUAAAUGAAUUGACGGGG